GUGGAGAUGAUGAUCCUUUCCCCAGAUGAUCGACUCUGAUUAUAACGUGCGAUCGUUUUUCAUCUUCCUCUUGAUUUGAGGAGGAGAUUAAGCCAGGAAUCUGAUCCAU
rnacentral:snoRNA from 1 species